rnacentral:lncRNA from 7 species
CGAGGAAGUGGUUGCGACGAAUUACAAGUCCCUGCGUGCACUGCGAAGGCAGGCUUGGUUGGGGAGGAUGCCUAUUUAUCUUCGAGCCAGCCGCUUGGUUCGUUUCAAGUCCGGAAUGCUUCUGCGUUCGGAAUGACAGCUCUGCUACUUUGCAGUAGUAAAAAGAAACACAUUGCAAAUCUCACAGAGCCUUCCCUCCAAGAGCAGUCAGGCAUAUAGUUACAGAAUGUUUCCUUAGACCUCCGAUUGUCACCCGGAAGUGUUUGCUAAGUACCCUCCAGAUUGGACGCCACAUACAACGGAGAAUUUUUCUGGCCACAUAUAAAGCCUGCGAAUCAAGAUGUAGAGCUCUCAGCUCCUACUCCAUCACCAUGUCUGCCUGCAUGCCACCAUGUUUCCUGCCAUGAACUAAAUAAUGAACUAAACCUCUGAACUGUAAGCCAGCCCCAAUUAAAUGUUCCUUUAAAGAGUU